AAUUACCACAUCUGAGAUAAUAUAAAAUAAAUAUCGUGGCUAUGAUUCCUGAGAGAUAGUAUAUCAGCUGUCAGUAUUUGAAUUUUCGUAGAGGGAGAGUCGUCAACAAUCUUAUACUAAAGAAGAAUCAUGGCGAAUUCGAAUACCUAUGGAUUUUGGAUCAGUCAAUGGACUGAUCCUCUUGGAAGGGUACAUGUUUAAAAAAUCAAUAAAUUCCUUUCAUUCAUCCCCAUUAAAGUCAUCAUGAUCAAGGAUUCACAUCGAUCAAAGAGUCUAUGAUGUUUAUGUUCUCCCUUCUUCUUCGUAGUCCCUGUCAAAUCAAAUUGGUCAACUUGAUGUAUUGAGGACACAUUAUUUACAAUUCAAUCAAUACUAACACGUUAUUUUUCGGAGUACUCAAUUUUUCCUUUUAAGACGAGAUAUCACGUCUCUUGCAAAAAAGAAAGGAUCUGCCAUUUAAUAAAUAUAUUGGAAAGUUCUCGGGAAAGAUGUUAAAAGAGUACAUGACUGGCGAGAAGAGAACAAUUGGUCAAUCUAACAAGUGACUGAUCAGUGUCGGUUUAAAAGGGGAAGAGAAAAAUGUGAAUACAUUAAAAUUAACAAAAAAAAAUUAAAUUUUACUUCUAUUUUUAGUAGAUUUUUGACUUUUUGAAUUUAUAUAUAAGUCCCUAUAGACACUCCAGACAGGAUGUAAAAAAAGUACAUAUCCGGGGAAAAGAGAAUAGUUGGUGAUCCAAAUCUAAUUUUGUCAAACAAUAGGUUCUAAAGAAAUGUAUCAAAUGUAAAAUUAAUACGACAUAAGCGCAAGAUAGAUCAAAUUUAAGGAGCUCUCUCAUUAAUGAAGCUGUUGCUCGUUCUCCCCAUUUGUAAAUGUAAUUGGAACAGAACAUGGGCAGCGUUAGGGAUUGGAAGCCCGUUGGUAAUCGUAGUUUAUUAAAAGAACAAGUUAAUGUUAUUAUGGGUUAUAGAUCAAAGUCUGCUCCAAAUCCUAGUUGAAAUGAUCCCUUUAAAAAAAGAAAAAAAAAAAAAUUACAAUACCCUUCUUCUGAGAACAUUCUGAUUCAAAGAAGCUGUUCCGUACAUGAAAUCUGUUCGCUCUAAAUCAUCUGCCUCUAAGAAUAUACAUUCAGCCAAUUUGAUGACCACUUCACCAAAUAAAAUACUAGCUCAAAAUCAUACACUCUCCUUAAAUACGCCAGUUAGAAAGUCACCAAGGUUGGCAAAGAUGUAUUAAUCAUUGUUCUUUUGACUCAUUUAUUGCGUCCUUUUCAUUAAUUUAAUUUCAUUUUCCAACUGAAUACACUUAUAUUUGUUUUA
rnacentral:lncRNA from 1 species